rnacentral:rRNA from 1 species
UACAACAUAACAUUAAUGCAUCGGAUCCCAUUAGAACUCUGCAGUUAAACGCGCAGGCUAGAGUAGCACUGGGAUGGGUAACCACCCUAGAAGUCCUAGUAUGGUUUUAU